GCAGUGGUAGCUCAGUGGUUAAGGCAUUGGGCUGAUACUGACUGGAAAGUUUGGAGUUCAAAUCCCAACCCUGCC